CCCUAUGGGGUGCGUAAAAUCUCCGGUGGCGACAACGGUGAUGCCUUUCAACUGGGCCCACUUCCACAAUGCUUCGGGGGCCAUAUCUUUGCUCGUGGCACGGGAAUACUUCGAAUGGAUAUGAAGGUCGGCGAUAAAACGCAUAAUAGUCGUAAUCCGCGCAGAGUAUAGCACAGGAUUCUAUCGGCAGGAUAGUUUAAUUGUGAAUCAUGUCCUCGAUUUUGCCGAAAGGCAGUAGCCAAAACGACCUCAGAAUUAUUGGUCUUUUUCGCGACAGACGGGACUAUCAAUUCUACAUAUAUUUUGUACGGGAUUGACUAGGCAAAACCGUCAGGAGGAAGAAGUCAGCCAAAUACAGACAGGAGGUAUGCGAUGCGUUUUCUACUAACAAUUUCACUGCUUUUGACCGUUACAAUUGUAUCAUGCGGAGGCGGAAUUGGCGGGGGGGC
rnacentral:rRNA from 1 species